AGAGUUUGAUCCUGGCUCAGAAUCAACGCUGGCGGCGUGCCUAAUACAUGCAAGUCGAACGCGAAGACCCCGCAAGGGGUUGUUAGCGUGGCAAACGGGUGAGUAACGCGUGGGCGACCUACCUUCGAGUGGGGGAUAACCUUCCGAAAGGAGGGCUAAUACCGCAUGACAUGCUCUGUUUAGAUACAGGGACAUCAAAGCCGGGGAUCGCGAGACCUGGCGCUUGACGAGGGGCCUACGUCCGAUUAGCUAGUUGGUGGGGUAAUGGCUCACCAAGGCGACGAUCGGUAUCCGGCCUGAGAGGGCGGACGGACACACUGGGACUGCGACACGGCCCAGACUCCUACGGGAGGCAGCAGUAGGGAAUUGUUCGCAAUGGGCGCAAGCCUGACGACGCAACGCCGCGUGGAGGAUGAAGACCUUCGGGUCGUAAACUCCUUUCGACCGAGAUGAAUACGUGUCGACCUAAUACGUCGACGCGCUGACAGUAUCGAGGGAAGCAGCCCCGGCUAACUCCGUGCCAGCAGCCGCGGUAAUACGGGGGGGGCAAGCGUUGUUCGGAAUUACUGGGCGUAAAGGGUUCGUAGGUGGCCAACUAAGUCAGACGUGAAAUCCCUCAGCUUAACUGGGGGAACUGCGUCUGAUACUGGUUGGGCUCGAGUGCAGGAGAGGAACGCGGAAUUCCAGGUGUAGCGGUGAAAUGCGUAGAUAUCUGGAGGAACACCGGUGGCGAAGGCGGCGUUCUGGACUGCAACUGACACUGAGGAACGAAAGCCAGGGGAGCAAACGGGAUUAGAUACCCCGGUAGUCCUGGCCCUAAACGAUGAAUGCUUGGUGUGGCGGGUAUCGAUCCCUGCCGUGCCGAAGUUAACGCGAUAAGCAUUCCGCCU
rnacentral:rRNA from 1 species